AACGAACGCUGGCGGCAUGCCUAACACAUGCAAGUCGAACGAGACCUUCGGGUCUAGUGGCGAACGGGUGCGUAACGCGUGGGAACCUGCCCUUAGGUUCGGAAUAACUCCCCGAAAGGGGUGCUAAUACCGGAUAAUGUCUUCGGACCAAAGAUCUAUCGCCUUUGGAUGGGCCCGCGUUGGAUUAGCUAGUUGGUAGGGUAAAAGCCUACCAAGGCGACGAUCCAUAGCUGGUCUGAGAGGAUGAUCAGCCACACUGGGACUGAGACACGGCCCAGACUCCUACGAGAGGGAGCAGGGGGGAAUAUUGGACAAGGGGCGAAAGCCUGAUCCAGCAAUGCCGCGUGAGUGAUGAAGGCCUUAGGGUUGUAAAGCUCUUUUACCCGGGAUGAUAAUGACAGUACCGGGAGAAUAAGCUCCGGCUAACUCCGUG
rnacentral:rRNA from 1 species